rnacentral:lncRNA from 1 species
UUUUCCAUCUGCUUCAUCAAGGAUCCCUGUGAUGAUGCUGAUGAGUCUCUCUGAAAUUCUUUCUGUUCUUUUUCUACUUCAUUGCACAGAACCCUUGAGGGUAGAAUGUGAAGUUCUGAUAUAUGUGUGCCUCGUGGAAUUAUCGUAUCAAGAACAUAUUGAUGCUCUGAAAGAUAACCCCAGAAGAGUAUGAGGAGACAUACACAGUCUACACAGAAAACUGAAGCCUACCCAGAGGGUAAAUAUUGAGUCAGGAUCUAAACACAGUUGGACUUUACAGCUCUCAGGAUCGUAACACCUAACUUCUUCCAAAAAGUGAAAUGACUUUACUUCUAAUUUCCUCCAUUCAUCCAAUACCAUUUGAAAAUAGUGUCUGAGUGUAUACUAUUUUUCAAGCACUGUUCCUGGGAAUCCAGGUACACAGUAAACUUUAGAGACAAAGUUCCUGAUCUUAGUCCACUGUUCCAGUAGGAAAAGACAUCAACAUCG